rnacentral:rRNA from 1 species
GCACAAGCGGUGGAGCAUGUGGUUCAAUUCGACGCAACGCGAAGAACUUUACCCAGGCUUGAACUGCAGAUGACAUCCUACGAAAGUAGGCUCCCGAAAGGGCAUCUGUAGAGGUGCUGCAUGGCUGUCGUCAGCUCGUGUCGUGAGAUGUUGGGUUAAGUCCCGCAACGAGCGCAACCCUUGUCUUCUGUUGCCAUCGGGUCAUGCCGGGCACUCUGAAGAGACUGCCGGUGACAAACCGGAGGAAGGUGGGGAUGACGUCAAGUCAGCAUGGCCUUUAUGUCUGGGGCCACACACGUGCUACAAUGGCCGGUACAAACCGUCGCGAUCCCGCGAGGGGGAGCUAAUCGGAGAAAGCCGGUCUCAGUUCGGAUUGCAGGCUGCAACUCGCCUGCAUGAAGGCGGAGUCGCUAGUAACCGCAGGUCAGCACACUGCGGUGAAUACGUUCCCGGGC